rnacentral:rRNA from 1 species
AUAGAGACUCAGAGCUGCAUAUCAAUAAGCGGAGGAAAAGAAACUAACUAGGAUUCCCUUAGUAACGGCGAGUGAAGCGGGAAGAGCUCAAAUUUGAAAUCUUCAAGGUUCUACCUUGACGAAUUGUAGUUUAAUAGAAGUGUUUUCUGUUAGGAAUUUGGCUAAAAGUUCUUUGGAAUAGGACAUCAUAGAGGGUGAGAAUCCCGUAUUUGACCAUUAUUUCCAGCUUUGUGAUACACUUUCAAAGAGUCGGAUUGUUUGGGAAUACAGUCCAAAAUGGGUGGUAAAUUUCAUCUAAAGCUAAAUAUUGGCGAGAGACCGAUAGCGAACAAGUACCGUGAGGGAAAGAUGAAAAGAACUUUGAAAAGAGAGUUAAACAGUACGUGAAAUUGUCAAAAGGGAAGCGUUUGACACCAGUGUUGUUUUUCCGAAAAUCAAUUACGAAUGUUUUGUUUUUGAGAAGUUAUGACUUCAUCGGCUUGCUUCUCUCUUUACGAAACUUUCUUAAUGCACUUUUCGGUUAACAAGUCAACAUCAAUUUCUUUUGUUGUAAAAGAGUCAUUGGAAGGUGGCUUUCAUUUCGGUGAAAGUGUUUAUAGCCUUUGACUUCUGCAAUCGGAGAGAUUGAGGUCUGCAGCGUAGAUCCUUCGGGGUUAGAUACAUUUGUGCUAAGUUAUAGCUUUUCAUAGACAACUUGUUGACUAUGUUAAGUCUUGUAGCUUACUCGCUUAGUGCUAUUUUACCUACGCUUAGGAUGUUGAUAGUCACAGCGUGUAC